rnacentral:rRNA from 1 species
GGGCUGCAGUUAGGAAUCGUACACAAUGGACGAAAGUCUGAUGUCGUGACACCGCGUGAAGGAUGAAGGUUUUCGGAUCGUAAACUUCUUUUAUAUGGGAUGAUUAUGACCUUACCAUAUGAAUAAGCAUCGGCUAACUCCGUGCCAGAAGCCUCGGUAAUACGGAGGAUGCGAGCGUUAUCCGGUCUUAUUGGGCGUAAAGAGCGCGUAGGCGGACAUGUCAGUCUAAUCUUAAAUAUCACGGCUCAACCGUGAAGCUGGAUUGGAUACUGCAUGACUUGAGGAAUUGCAGGGGUAAGCGGAAUCUACGGUGUAGGGGUAAAAUCCAUUGAUAUCGUAGAGAACACCAAUGGCGAAGGCAGCUUACUAGGCAUUACCUGACGCUGAGGCGCGAAAGCGUGGGGAGCGAACGGGAUUAGAUACCCUUGUAGUC